AUUGAACGCUGGCGGCAGGCCUAACACAUGCAAGUCGAGCGGAGCGGCGGACGGGUGAGUAAUGCCUAGGAAUCUGCCUGGUAGUGGGGGAUAACGUCCGGAAACGGGCGCUAAUACCGCAUACUAUCAGAUGAGCCUAGGUCGGAUUAGCUAGUUGGUGGGGUAAAGGCCUACCAAGGCGACGAUCCGUAACUGGUCUGAGAGGAUGAUCAGUCAACCGGGAAACGAGACAAGGGCCAGACGCCUACGGGAGGCAGCAGUGGGGAAUGUUCAGCAAUGGACGAAAGUCUGACGGAGCAACGCCGCGGGAGUGAUGACGGCCUUGGGGUUGUAAAGCUCUGUUAAUCGGGACGCGGUACCGGAAGAGAAAGCCACGGCUAACUACGUGCCAGCAGCCGCGGUAAUAC
rnacentral:rRNA from 1 species